UACGGAGGGGGCUAGCGUUGUUCGGAAUUACUGGGCGUAAAGCGCACGUAGGCGGCUUUGUAAGUUAGAGGUGAAAGCCCGGGGCUCAACUCCGGAAUUGCCUUUAAGACUGCAUCGCUAGAAUUGUGGAGAGGUAAGUGGAAUUCCGAGUGUAGAGGUGAAAUUCGUAGAUAUUCGGAAGAACACCAGUGGCGAAGGCGGCUCACUGGACCGGUACUGACGCUGAGGUGGCGAAAAGCGUGGGGGAGCAAACAGG
rnacentral:rRNA from 1 species